GUUCUGUCGCUAAUCAUCUCAGUUCGGAUGUGGAAAGUUCUUCUGUGCUGUAUGCAAAGGCACCUGUCAUCUUGGCUAUUGGAAGAAAUAUCACCAGACCGGAGCACAGCCAUCUCUCCGUCGUGAUUGGAGGCAUCGUGGAAGCACCCCAGCGACCAAACGUGACCAUCCAAUGUCCUGUAAAAGACUCUAGGUCCACCCACAUGUCUACAAAUGACCCAAUUUUGCUCGACAUCACUAAUUAUUAGAGAAAUGCAAAUCAAAACUACAAUGAGGUAUCACGUCACACCGGUCAGAAUGGCCGUCUCCAAGAAGAGCCCGAACGCUUUCAAUUCGAUACACUCUUCCGAGCACCUCCUACAUGCUCAGCUGACAGCAAGGAGCUCCCAGAAUGACGCGAUACUGACCAUGACAUAACGUUGUCAAUGCAAUAGUGUCCGCACGAAUAAAACACUGUAGGAACUGGGAGGAGUAGACAAGCAGCUCCGUGUGGGAGGUCCCAGGAGGUGUGACCAGGCCCAUGAAGAUGAAAAGGUAGGAACAUUCCAGAGUGAAGAGCAUGAGUGAGGACAGCUGGCAUGCAAGGGCAGGCUUGCUGCAGGACAUGGAAUUGGCUACAGUCUGAGGUCUGUGCAAGGAGAGACCCGGCAGGAGGAUUGGAAAGUCAGCC